rnacentral:rRNA from 1 species
GCCAGACUCCUACGGGAGGCAGCAGUGGGGGAUAUUGCACAAUGGGGGAAACCCUGAUGCAGCGACGCCGCGUGGGUGAAGAAGCGCCUCGGCGCGUAAAGCCCUGUCAGCAGGGAAGAAAAUGACGGUACCUGAAGAAGAAGCCCCGGCUAACUACGUGCCAGCAGCCGCGGUAAUACGUAGGGGGCAAGCGUUAUCCGGAUUUACUGGGUGUAAAGGGAGCGUAGACGGCUGCGCAAGUCAGAAGUGAAAGCCCGGGGCUCAACCGCGGGACUGCUUUUGAAACUGUGUAGCUAGAGUGCAGGAGAGGUAAGUGGAAUUCCUAGUGUAGCGGUGAAAUGCGUAGAUAUUAGGAGGAACACCGGUGGCGAAGGCGGCUUACUGGACUGUAACUGACGUUGAGGCUCGAAAGCGUGGGGAGCAAACAGGAUUAGAUACCCGAGUA